UUAGAGUUUUGAUCCUGGCUCAGAACGAACGCUGGCGGCAGGCUUAACACAUGCAAGUCGAGCGCCCCGCAAGGGGAGCGGCAGACGGGUGAGUAACGCGUGGGAAUCUACCCUUUUCUACGGAAUAACGCAGGGAAACUUGUGCUAAUACCGUAUGAGCCCUUCGGGGGAAAGAUUUAUCGGGAAAGGAUGAGCCCGCGUUGGAUUAGCUAGUUGGUGGGGUAAAGGCCUACCAAGGCGACGAUCCAUAGCUGGUCUGAGAGGAUGAUCAGCCACAUUGGGACUGAGACACGGCCCAAACUCCUACGGGAGGCAGCAGUGGGGAAUAUUGGACAAUGGGCGCAAGCCUGAUCCAGCCAUGCCGCGUGAGUGAUGAAGGCCCUAGGGUUGUAAAGCUCUUUCACCGGUGAAGAUAAUGACGGUAACCGGAGAAGAAGCCCCGGCUAACUUCGUGCCAGCAGCCGCGGUAAUACGAAGGGGGCUAGCGUUGUUCGGAAUUACUGGGCGUAAAGCGCACGUAGGCGGAUUGUUAAGUGAGGGGUGAAAUCCCAGGGCUCAACCCUGGAACUGCCUUUCAUACUGGCAAUCUAGAGUCCAGAAGAGGUGAGUGGAAUUCCGAGUGUAGAGGUGAAAUUCGUAGAUAUUCGGAGGAACACCAGUGGCGAAGGCGGCUCACUGGUCUGGAACUGACGCUG
rnacentral:rRNA from 1 species